rnacentral:rRNA from 1 species
GAUGAACGCUGGCGGCGUGCUUAACACAUGCAAGUCGAACGAAGAUGCCGGAGUGCUUGCACUUUGGCAGACUGAGUGGCGGACGGGUGAGUAACGCGUGGGUAACCUGCCUUAUACAGGGGGAUAACAGUUGGAAACGACUGCUAAUACCGCAUAAGCGCACGGUAUCGCAUGAUACAGUGUGAAAAACUCCGGUGGUAUAAGAUGGACCCGCGUCUGAUUAGCUUGUUGGUGAGGUAACGGCCCACCAAGGCGACGAUCAGUAGCCGGCCUGAGAGGGUGACCGGCCACAUUGGGACUGAGACACGGCCCAGACUCCUACGGGAGGCAGCAGUGGGGAAUAUUGCACAAUGGAGGAAACUCUGAUGCAGCGACGCCGCGUGAGUGAAGAAGUAUUUCGGUAUGUAAAGCUCUAUCAGCAGGGAAGAUAAUGACGGUACCUGACUAAGAAGCACCGGCUAAAUACGU